rnacentral:lncRNA from 10 species
GUUGGGAUUACAGGCGUGAGCCACCACACCCAGCCCAGUUCACUUUAUACACACACACUCACACACAACCUUGCCUUCUGGUUUCUCUGCAGAACCCUAAUACAAGUAUCUCACACACACACACACACACACACACACACACACCCUUCCUACUGGUUUCUCUGCAGAACCCUAAUACAGGGUAUGAGACCACAACUUUUGGAAAUCACUGCUUCACGAAUACUGAAUUCUGAUUUUUCUUAGAUUCAUACGUGUUCAAUCCAUUCCCUUUACAGAAUAAGAAACCCACAGGGAAGUUAGGAAGCAUGCCCAGCAUUAGCCUGACAGCUGUAACAGAAACAGCAAGUGUACCCCCUUUGCUGCGACCCACAGAUGAACACGUGCAUGGACACACAUGUCCCCUGUUUGCACUGAGAUACUUCCAACAGCUAGUUUUCAGAAAGAUUGGGGUGGGGUGGGAAAAGUAAUCUUAUUCCAGGGCCUGGAAGGCAGGAGCAAAAGUUGAGUUGCUGUUUUCCCUCCCAUGCACCAAAGAUAAAUUUGUUAACACUGUAGCUCAAUAGGAUGUCAGUGUUCUUCAGCCUCAAGUUGAGGAGACAGAAAGGCUGGGUUAUGGCCUUAGGGGGCUACAUUGAGAUUUUUCACUUUCCUUAUUCAAUAGGAAGCAACCCUCUGCACCAACAUGGACAUCCUUGCUGACUUCAUCACAUGAAAACACAGUCGGCGCUUCAUCAGCAGUAAUUUAAAGCAGAUCCAAGGAGGCUUUUAAUAAGUUAAAGGGCUCCUGACAUGCAAGAAGCUGUUAAAUCUUCUUUGCACGGCCCUGGUAAGGGACCUGGCUGUGAGAAUGGAGCAUUGCUGCCACGACUCAGCCCUUUCCCAGGAUGCACCUGCUGACGCUCACCACAGACACUGUUUCCUCCCGAACGUGAUGACAGUGGCUGCCACCUAGGCAUCUGCAUCGCUGUCUUCAAGACUUUGGAGUUCUCAAAGUGCCCUGAUCUUAAAAAUGAGCAAAGAUGACAAGACAUUCAAGGAACGCCUCUAAUAUGAAACAGAGAGAUGAGAUAAUACAAGCUGGGAAAAGAGAACAUGGAAGCAAUGAGACUACAACAGAAGUUCCAGAUGGAGAGAAAAAACAGAAAGCAAGACGGUGGAAGCAACUGGACCAUGUGCACCACCAAAACAAGGGAGUAAACCAAGAAGGCAAAAUAGAUGCAUCCAAGAAGAUAAACUAAACGAAAAGCAACUUCCACUUCUGUUCAAAAUGGAGUAACAAGGAUUGCAUUUAACUUCCCACUGUAACCAACUACAAAAAUGGACAAAACAAGGCCAGGCACGGUGGCUCAUGCCUGUAAUCCCAGCACUUUGGGAGGCCGAGGUGGGUGGAUCACGAGGUCAGGAGUUUGAGACCAGCCUGGCCAAGAGACGGGCCUGGCCAAUAUGGUGAAACCCUGCCUCUACUAAAAAUACAAAAAUUAGACGGGCACGGUGGCGGGUGCGGCUGGGGCAGGAGAAUUGCUUGAACCCGGGAGGUGGAGGUGGCAGUGAGACGAGAUCAUACCAUUGCCCUCCAGCCUGGGCGACAGAGCAAGACUCCAACUCAAAAAAAAAAGAAAAAAGAAAAAUGGACAAAACAAUUAAAUAGCUGCUUUCAGACACUGGGUGCAAGCAUGCAAGAUUGUGAGCCCUGUGGUCACCCUGGCUUUCAACCAGAGGCAUUUCUGGGCCAUGAACACAGCGAGAAGGACCACACACAAAGCCUAGAGGUCUCACUAACUGGAGGAGAUGGCGACCCAGGUUUGUGGGAUGCAGAGGUGGCUGGAGCUGCAGAGGAGAAAGCUGGGGAGAAAAAGGGCUGAGGAAUCUGAAAAGGGUAAGAGGCCAUUCUUGUGUAAAAGCUAGAUUUUAGAAAAACAAAACAAAACUAUCAGGAAGUUGUAAGACAAACAGUUCUCAGAACUCACAGAAAUAUGCAGUGGUUCACGCCUGUAAUCCCAGAACUUUGGGAGGCCAAGGCGGGUGGAUCACCUGAGGUCAGCAGUUCAAAACCAGCUUGGCCAACAUGGUGAAACCCCGUCUCUACUAAAAAUACAAAAAAUUAGCAGGACGUAGUGGCACACGCCUGUAAUCUCAGCUACUCGGGAGGCUGAGGCAGGAAAAUUGCUUGAACCCAGGCGGUGGGGGUUGCGGUGUGCCGAGAUCACACCACUGCACUCCAGCCUGGGUGACAGAGUGAGACUCCAUCUCAAAAAAUAAAAAUAAAGAAUUCACAGAAAUGUGAGACUCUAAUCAGCCACAGCAAUGUCCUUAGUCAUUCCCCACGUCAUUCAGCCAAGAUCGUAGAGGGGCCUCACCUCAGUAGGAGAGCUGAACUUCUGGUGGAAUAAUGGCUGCUCUAGCGCUGACAGUUAUGUUUAAAAACAGGCCUCAAUACCACUUCACAAACAUUGGGAUGACUGUUAUCAAAAACAUAAAACAAAAUCCCCAAAAUAACUAAUGUUAGCAAGAAUAUGGAGAAAUUUAAACCCUCGUGCACUGCUAGUGGGAAUGUAAAAUGGUACAGCCACUGUGGAAAAGAGUAUGGCAGAUCCUCGAAAAAUUAAAAAUAGAACUACCAUAUGAUCCAGUAAUUCUACCUCUGGGUACAUACCCCCCAAAAUUUAAAGCACACCUCACAGAGCCAUCUCUCCACCCAUGUUCACUGCAACAUUAUUCACAAUAGCCAGGAGGUGGAAACAAAUCAAGUGUCCAUGGAUGGAUGACUGGAUUAACAAAGCGUGGACUAGCCAUACAAUGAAAUAUUAUUCAGCCCUAAAAAGGAAAUGCUGACACAUGCUACAACAGAUGAACCUUGAGGAUAGUACACUGAGUGAAAUAAGCCAGCCACAAAAGAACUAAUAUUUUAUGAUUCCCCUUACACGAGGUGCCUGGGUAGUCGAAUUCAUGAAGACAGAAAGUAGAAUGGUAGCUGCCAGGGGCUAGGGGACGGAGGAUGGGAGCUAGUGUUUAGGGCCACAGAGUUUCCGCUUCAGAAGACGAAAAAUUCUAGAGAUGGAUGGUGGUAAUGGUGGUACAAUAAUGUGAAUGUACUUAAUGCCACUGAGCUGAAAGUGUAAAAUAGCAAAUUGUUAUAUAUAUUCUACCACAUUUUAAAAAUACUUUUUAUUAAUAUGAAAAAACAGCCUCAAAUGAACCAAACUGAUUCAUAUGUAACUACCUGCCAAAACAAAGCCCAU